rnacentral:rRNA from 1 species
GAUGAACGCUAGCGGCAGGCCUAAUACAUGCAAGUCAAGGGGCCAGCAAUGGCACCGGCGCACGGGUGCGUAACACGUACACAACAUACCUUUAAGUGGGAGAUAGCAUCGGGAAACUGGUGGUAAUACCCCAUAAUAUUGCGAUGCGGCAUCACAUUGCAAUUAAAGUUUCGACGCUUAAAGAUUGGUGUGCGUCCGAUUAGCUAGUUGGCGGGGUAACGGCCCACCAAGGCUACGAUCGGUAGGGGGUGUGAGAGGAUGAUCAGCCACACUGGGACUGAGACACGGCCCAGACUCCUACGGGAGGCAGCAGUGGGGAAUAUUGGACAAUGGGCGCAAGCCUGAUCCAGCAAUGCCGCGUGUGUGAAGAAGGCCUGCGGGUUGUAAAGCCCUGUCGGGAGGGACGAAUCAAUGACGGUACCUCCCAAGAAAGCACCGGCUAACUCCGUG